rnacentral:rRNA from 1 species
AACGAACGCUGGCGGCAUGCCUAACACAUGCAAGUCGAACGAGACCUUCGGGUCUAGUGGCGCACGGGUGCGUAACGCGUGGGAACCUGCCCUUAGGUUCGGAAUAACUCCCCGAAAGGGGUGCUAAUACCGGAUAAUGUCUUCGGACCAAAGAUUUAUCGCCUUUGGAUGGGCCUGCGUUGGAUUAGCUAGUUGGUAGGGUAAAAGCCUACCAAGGCGACGAUCCAUAGCUGGUCUGAGAGGAUGAUCAGCCACACUGGGACUGAGACACGGCCUAGACUCCUACGGGAGGCAGCAGUGGGGAAUAUUGGACAAUGGGCGAAAGCCUGAUCCAGCAAUGCCGCGUGAGUGAUGAAGGCCUUAGGGUUGUAAAGCUCUUUUACCCGGGAUGAUAAUGACAGUACCGGGAGAAUAAGCGCCGGCUAACUCCGUG